GGUGGAAUUCGGGGCCGCACGCGCGCUACACUGACCGGAUCAGCGUGUGCUCUCCUUGGCCGACAGGUCCGGGAAACCCGUUGAACCCCGGUCGUGCUAGGGAUAGGGAAUUGCAAUUAUUUCCCUUGAACGAGGAAUUCCCAGUAAGCGCGAGUCAUUAGCUCGCGUUGAUUACGUCCCUGCCCUUUGUACACACCGCCCGUCGCUACUACCGAUUGAAUGGUUUAGUGAGGUCCUCCGAUUGGACCCGGUCCGGGCGGCGACGUCCGAGCCGGCGUCCGAGAAGACGAUCUAACUUGAUCAUUUAGAGGAAGUAAAAGUCGUAACAAGGUUUCCGUAGGUGAACCUGCGGAAGGAUCAUUA
rnacentral:ncRNA from 1 species